CCUACGGGGGGCAGCAGUGGGGAAUAUUGGACAAUGGGCGAAAGCCUGAUCCAGCCAUGCCGCGUGUGUGAAGAAGGCCUUCGGGUUGUAAAGCACUUUCAGUGGGGAAGAAAGCCUUGGGGCUAAUACCCUCGAGGAAGGACAUCACCCACAGAAGAAGCACCGGCUAACUCCGUGCCAAGCAGCCGCGGUAAUACGGAGGGUGCGAGCGUUAAUCGGAAUUACUGGGCGUAAAGCGCGCGUAGGCGGUCUGAUAAGCCGGUUGUGAAAGCCCCGGGCUCAACCUGGGAACGGCAUCCGGAACUGUCAGGCUAGAGUGCAGGAGAGGAAGGUAGAAUUCCCGGUGUAGCGGUGAAAUGCGUAGAGAUCGGGAGGAAUACCAGUGGCGAAGGCGGCCUUCUGGACUGACACUGACGCUGAGGUGCGAAAGCGUGGGUAGCAAACAGGAUUAGAUACCCCUGUAGUC
rnacentral:rRNA from 1 species